rnacentral:rRNA from 1 species
AUUGAACGCUGGCGGCAGGCUUAACACAUGCAAGUCGAGCGGUAACAGAGAGAAGCUUGCUUCUCUGCUGACGAGCGGCGGACGGGUGAGUAAUGCCUAGGAAUCUGCCUAGUAGUGGGGGAUAACUUGCCGAGAGGUAAGCUAAUACCGCAUACGUCCUACGGGAGAAAGGAGGGGACCUUCGGGCCUUUCGCUAUUAGAUGAGCCUAGGUCGGAUUAGUUAGUUGGUGAGGUAAUGGCUCACCAAGACCGCGAUCCGUAACUGGUCUGAGAAGAUGAUCAGGCACACUGGAACUGAGACACGGUCCAGACUCCUACGGGAGGCAGCAGUGGGGAAUAUUGGACAAUGGGGGGAACCCUGAUCCAGCCAUGCCGCGUGUGUGAAGAAGGUCUUAGGAUUGUAAAGCACUUUAAGUUGGGAGGAAGAGCAGUUAACUAAUAUUUGACUGUUUUGACGUUACCGACAGAAUAAGCACCGGCUAACUUCGUGCCAGCAGCCGCCGCCG